GACUCUUAAACUAUAGAGAAAAUUGACGCCACUCGAACUGGGCUUUCUUUGACAAUGCAAUCACGAAUUCAUUGAAUGAAUAUUAAAAAGUGUUGAUUAUUUGGUGUGAGGAGAGCACAGUAAGCAGUAAGAUGUGAGACACAGUGUUAUGUUUCUGACAAAUUUUCACUGCUAGCGUGCGAGGCCAAGAGUGCAAGCCACUUCAUUUAGACCGUGCAGGUAUCUGUAUCUGUGUUACAGUAUGGUGUCAUGUAGAAGAGGCUGGUGGGAGAAGCUGUAGGAGGACAGGCUCAUUGUAAUGGAUGGAAUGGAAUUCAGGAAAAGGAGCCAAACAUGUGUUUAAAAUAUGUUUGACGCAUUUGAUACCGGUCCAUAAAUUGCAUUCAGCAAUUAAAAUGAGCCCGCCUGCCCUCCCACCAGUCUCCUCUGUUGUCAUGGUGAUGUUAAACCCUUUUCUCACAGAUCCAGUAACGAUUGUUAAAACAUGACUGGUCCUUCCAUGCCUUUACAGGAAGCCAGGUUUCUGUGUUCAGCUCAACACAGUCCUCCUCCCCAUUUGCUGGGUUGUCACCACCAUUAUCAGGUUGCUGUAAAAUGGUCAAAUCUCUCACCCUGUGGUCAGUGGGGUGCCGUCCAUCCACUUCCAGGCCCCCUCAGUAACAGAGUCAGUCAGACCAAUCCAGGCGCUCAGGUGGAGGUUGAAGAGAAACUCCUGUUGGGUUUUUUCACAGUAGACAGGAAGUACCAACUGGAUUCAAACUUCUGCCAGUCUUCAGGACAGGUUUGUUCUACAAGACAGAAAUAUUAUUUUCCAUCUCAUUAUUCUGCAUCUAUUAUUGAAGAAUACAAACACAAGUUUACUGCAUAUUAGAUAUGUGAUGUUAAAAUCAAAUCAUUUAUCAGGUAAACUCACUCAGAUUUGAGAACUUUGUCAUAAGAUCAUCUCUCUCCUUCUGUUGCCGGUCUCUCUCUUUAGUCAGGGUGUUGUAACUGGUCUGUAGCUGGU